UAGGAUAAAUGGUCGCGGCUGGCAGGCCGAAAGGUGCCAGACGAGGAAAGUCCGGGCUUCACAGGGCAGGGAUGCCGGAUAACAUCCGGUGGAGGCGACUCCAAGGACAGUGCAACAGAAAUGAACCGCCGCGUUUGACGCGGUAAGGGUGGAAGGGCAGUGUAAGAGACUACCGCCCUCCUGGUAACAGGAGGGGCAUAUGUAAACCCCAUCCGAAGCAAGACCGCAACGAAGCAUAUGGCGGCCCGUCAGCUUCAGGUAGGUUGCUUGAGCCUGCCGGCAACGGCAGGUCUGGAUAGAUGACCAUUCACGACAUAACCCGGCUUAUCGUCCUGCUUA
rnacentral:RNase_P_RNA from 1 species